ACGAACGCUGGCGGCGUGCUUAACACAUGCAAGUCGAACGGAAAGGCCCUGCUUUUGUAGGGUGCUCGAGUGGCGAACGGGUGAGUAACACGUGAGUAACCUGCCCUUGACUUUGGGAUAACUUCAGGAAACUGGGGCUAAUACCGGAUAGGAGCUCCUGCUGCAUGGUGGGGGUUGGAAAGUUUCGGCGGUUGGGGAUGGACUCGCGGCUUAUCAGCUUGUUGGUGGGGUAGUGGCUUACCAAGGCUUUGACGGGUAGCCGGCCUGAGAGGGUGACCGGCCACAUUGGGACUGAGAUACGGCCCAGACUCCUACGGGAGGCAGCAGUGGGGAAUAUUGCACAAUGGGCGGAAGCCUGAUGCAGCAACGCCGCGUGCGGGAUGACGGCCUUCGGGUUGUAAACCGCUUUCGCCUGUGACGAAGCGUGAGUGACGGUAAUGGGUAAAGAAGCACCGGCUAACUACGUG
rnacentral:rRNA from 1 species